rnacentral:rRNA from 1 species
CCUACGGGUGGCAGCAGUCGAGAAUUUUUCUCAAUGGGGGAAACCCUGAAGGAGCGACGCCGCGUGGAGGAUGAAGGUCUUCGGAUUGUAAACUCCUGUCAUUGGGGAACUAGUACCCGAAGAGGAAGAGACGGCUAACUCUGUGCCAGCAGCCGCGGUAAUACAGAGGUCUCAAGCGUUGUUCGGAUUCAUUGGGCGUAAAGGGUGCGUAGGCGGCGGGGCAAGUCAGGUGUGAAAUCCCGGGGCUCAACCCCGGAACUGCACUUGAUACUGCCUCGCUAGAGUACUGGAGAGGAGACUGGAAUUUACGGUGUAGCAGUGAAAUGCGUAGAGAUCGUAAGGAAGACCAGUGGCGAAGGCGAGUCUCUGGACAGUACUGACGCUGAGGCACGAAGGCCAGGGGAGCAAACGGGAUUAGAUACCCUUGUAGUC